rnacentral:rRNA from 1 species
GACGAACGCUGGCGGCGUGCUUAACACAUGCAAGUCGAACGAUGAAACCUAGCUUGCUAGGUCGAUUAGUGGCGAACGGGUGAGUAACACGUGACUAACCUGCCCCUUUCUCUGGGAUAACGCUUCGAAAGGAGUGCUAAUACCGGAUACUCACAUCGAGGCACAUGCCUUGGUGUGGAAAGUUUUUCGGAAAGGGAUGGAGUCGCGGCCUAUCAGCUUGUUGGUGAGGUAACGGCUCACCAAGGCGACGACGGGUAGCCGGCCUGAGAGGGCGACCGGCACACUGGGACGGAGACACGGCCCAGCUUCUUACGGGAGGCAGCAGUGGGGAAUAUUGCAGAAGGGGCGCAAGCCGGAUGCAGCGACGCUGCAUGAGGGAUGAAGGUCUUCGGAUUGUAAACCUCUUUCAGUAGGGACGAAGCGAAAGUGACGGUACCUAAAGAAGAAGCACCGGCUAACUACGUGCCAGCAGCCGCCGUAA